AGGGACCUGACGUCACCUCAUUCCUAACGGAAACGGCGGGCGCUCAAAUCAUUGAGUUCAAGGAUGAGUCCGGUCACCGUCAUCAACCUUAACUCCUCUCUCUCUCUCUCUCUCCUCCCCUUCCCGUCAUCGCGAUGCANNNNNNNNNNNNNNNNNNNNAACUACCUCUCUCUCUCUCUCUCUCUCCCCUUCCCGUCAUCGCGAUGCAUGAAAAAGGAGUACUUGCCACGUGUUGCUUGAAUGGCUAUUCAAAUGGGCAUGAUGACUUGCCUUGUAUGCAUAUAUUUGCUCGUUAUCCUUCCACUUAUUCCUGCCGUAUAAAAAGUAUACAUGACGCUUUAUUCUCUCCCCCUUUGGGUUUUAGGAGUUUUAUCCUUCCAGCCAUGUAUGCUGCUUUUGCUGGGGAACUGGGCAUUGUGACUUGUGAGCAUGUUACCUUUUUGUCGGGAAGUUUCCUGUUCUCAGGGAAUGGGGUAGGUAGUGUACAUUGCUUACUGUUCUCUGUACCAUCUGCAACAUUUUAAUUGAAAAUUUGAUGGUUUUCCUUUUGAAAUGCUCUUUUUGAAAUUUUAAAGAGUUUCAGGUAAUGGCCGGCAAGUUGGAUGAUUC
rnacentral:lncRNA from 1 species